rnacentral:rRNA from 1 species
UGGGGAAUAUUGGGCAAUGGGCGCAAGCCUGACCCAGCAACGCCGCGUGAAGGAAGAAGGUCUUCGGAUUGUAAACUUCUGUCAUUGGGGACGAAAAAAAUGACGGUACCCGAUGAGGAAGCCCCGGCUAACUACGUGCCAGCAGCCGCGGUAAUACGUAGGGGGCGAGCGUUGUCCGGAAUUACUGGGCGUAAAGGGUGCGUAGGCGGCGAUGCAAGUCCAUUGUGAAAAGCCCGGGCUUAACCUGGGAGGUGCAGUGGAAACUGUAUGGCUUGAGUGCAGGAGAGGAAAGUGGAAUUCCUAGUGUAGCGGUGAAAUGCGUAGAUAUUAGGAGGAACACCAGUGGCGAAGGCGACUUUCUGGACUGUAACUGACGCUGAGGCACGAAAGCGUGGGGAGC